rnacentral:rRNA from 1 species
GACGAACGCUGGCGGCGUGCUUAACACAUGCAAGUCGAACGGAAAGGCCCUGCUUUUGUGGGGUGCUCGAGUGUCGCACGGGUGAGUCACACGUGAGUAACCUGCCCUUGACUUUGGGCUAACGUUAAGAACCUGUGGCUAGUGCCGCAUAGGAGCUCCUGCUCCAUGGGGGGGGUUGGAGAGUGUCGGGGGUUGGGGAUGGACUCGCGGCUUCUCAGCUUGUUGGUGGGGUAGUGGCAUACCAAGGAUUUGACGGGUAGCCGGCCUGAGAGGGGGACCGGCCGCAAUGGGAGUGAGAUGAGGCCCAGAAGCCUACGGGAGGCAGCAGUGGGGAAGAUUGCUCCACGAGCGGAAGCCUGAUGCAGCAACGACGCGUGCGGGAGGACGGCGUUCGGGGUGUAAACCGCUUUCGCCUGUGACGAAGAGGGAGUGACGGUAAUUGGUAAAGAAGCACCGGCUAACUACGUG